ensembl:snoRNA
AGUGUGGAUAAUGAUGCAUAAUCUUUUUUCCCCGUCUUAUCGACUAUGGUGAAAAUCAGUUGUUAAUAAGCCAACCAUGUCUGAAACCACAUC